rnacentral:rRNA from 1 species
AACGUAGGAGACGAGCGUUAUCCGGAAUUACUGGGCGUAAAGCGCGUGUAGGCGGUUGAGUAAGUUCGUCGUGAAAGCUCUCGGCUAAACUGAGAGAGGUCGAUGGAUACUGCUCGGCUGGAGUGGGGGAGAGGCAGGUGGAAUUCCGGGUGUAGUGGUGAAAUGCGUAGAGAUCCGGAGGAACACCAGUGGCGAAGGCGGCCUGCUGGCCCUCAACUGACGCUGAGACGCGAAAGCAUGGGGAGCGAACGGGAUUAGAAACCCCCGUAGUCC